ensembl:miRNA
UCAGCAGCACAGCCUUCAGCCUAAGGCAAUGAGAAGCCUCUGAAAGGCUGAGGCAGUCGAUUGAAU